ACUUCUGUGUACGUGCAUGUACGUGAGAAAGAAAGAGAUAUAAGGGAUGCUCAGGCUCUGAAGAAGGCGACUUGAUGACUCUGCAAAAUGAUCACAAACCAUUCUUGACAAUAGGGGAGACCAGUGCUGGACAUCACACUUUUCUACUCCAAAUACAUUUCUCAAGCACUGAAGCAGACGUUUACACAUGGCCAGGAUAAACUGAAACUCAUCUUCAGGUCAACAUUCCCUUAGAUGUUGAGAAGAAAUGUGAUUAUGAUACAAAUCAACGUAGUUAUCUGCAACCCGACGCUCACAGAAACCCUCCGAUGUGCGUCCUCGCUGCUCUGAGGGGGAAUCACAGGCUGGAUCUGGGAUGAUGUGCAGCGAGUCUCUAUAUAGCUACUGGGAAUUCUGCCACACCGUCUGGAUAAAAGACAAAUAAGAAACAUCCUGCCCCUUUGUUAUUGUUCAGAAAACAAAUGAGGUAAACUCACACCAACGGUUG